UGGGCAACAUCCUUGCAGACGGCCAAUUCUCUUACAUCAGAAGCAUUUGCAGUUUCUCAAGUUGCUCCUGACAUGGCAAAAAAACCAUUUAUUUCGACCCCAUUAAUUUUGUUAGGCAAGGAAUACUGUAAUUCUUCUGUAUACUUCUUUAAAUGUGUAACCAUAUUUUAAUAAUUACAGGGAUGUGACUUCACUAGAUGGUGAAGAAGGACGAUUUCAAAUGCUAGCUUAUGCUGCGGUUCGUGCAACUGCAUUUGUAUCAGUGUUGAGGCAACAAUGAAGGGAAUGACAGAAAGUGACAGUCUUUUGGAAGGAGCAAGGCUACUGGAACAGCAAUAACUGUUUACUUAGGACUGACACAAAAUGCAGAAUUAUGAAUGCAAGACUUGAGAUACCCUCUCCCAGAAAGCAGAGUCUUGAUGACAAGUUGUCCAGAGGGGUCACUCAUGGCUUUCAUAAAAAUUAAGGCUAUCAUGAUGAUUGGGUAUGUUUGUGCAUAUGUGUGUAUGCAUGCACAUGCAUGCCUUCAAGUUGCCUGAGAAUUUCAUCAGGGUUUCUCAGGAAGAGAAUACUCAGUUUUUUUAUAAUUAAUUUUUAUUAAGACAAAUUGAAAAAAAACUACUACAUACAAACAUACAAAAACAAAAC